rnacentral:rRNA from 1 species
AUGCCGCGUGUGUGAAGAAGGCCUUCGGGUUGUAAAGCACUUUCAGCAGUGAGGAAGGUUGGUACGUUAAUAGCGUAUUAAUUUGACGUUAGCUGCAGAAGAAGCACCGGCUAACUCCGUGCCAGCAGCCGCGGUAAUACGGAGGGUGCGAGCGUUAAUCGGAAUUACUGGGCGUAAAGCGCAUGCAGGCGGUUUGUUAAGCAAGUGUGAAAGCCCCGGGCUCAACCUGGGAACCGCAUUUUGAACUGCAGGCUAGAGUCUUGUAGAGGGGGGUAGAAUUUUGUAGCGGUGAAAUGCGUAGAGAUCUGAAGGAAUACCGGUGGCGAAGGCGGCCCCCUGGACAAAGACUGACGCUCAGAUGCGAAAGCGUGGGGAGCAAACAGGAUUAGAUACCCUGGUAGUCCACGCUGUAAACGAUGUCUACUUGGAGGUUGUGACCUAGAGUCGUGGCUUUCGGAGCUAACGCGUUAAGUAGACCGCCUGGGGAGUACAGAUUAAAACUCAAUGAAUUGACGGGGGCCCGCACAAGCGGUGGAGCAUGUGGUUUAAUUCGAUGCAACGAACCUUACUACUCUUGACAUCCACAGAAGCCGGAAGAGAUUUUGGUGUGCCUUCGGGAACUGUGAGACAGGUGCUGCAUGGCUGUCGUCAGCUCGUGUUGUGAAAUGUGGGUUAAGUCCGCAACGAGCGCAACCCUUAUCCUUGUUUGCCAGCACGUCAUGGUGGGAACUCCAGGGAGACUGCCGG